rnacentral:rRNA from 1 species
UACGAAGGGGGCUAGCGUUGCUCGGAAUCACUGGGCGUAAAGCGCACGUAGGCGGCUUCUUAAGUCAGGGGUGAAAUCCUGGAGCUCAACUCCAGAACUGCCUUUGAUACUGAGAAGCUUGAGUCCGGGAGAGGUGAGUGGAAACUGCGAGUGUAGAGGUGAAAUUCGUAGAUAUCGCAAGAACACCAGUGGCGAAGGCGGCUCACUGGCCCGAUACUGACGCUGAGGUGCGAAAGCGUGGGGAGC